GCGGGGUAUUGACUAGUUUAUAUAAUAAUAUCGAUAUAUUCUCCAACCUGAUUUCCACCAAAGGCAAAAACAAGAAGCAAAGUUACCUUAAGAGUCAAGAAAAACUAGUAGAAAGUGAAAUUCUUUGCUUACUGAACCAAGUUUAAGUUCAUGGCUUCACUGCAAGACAACAUCACUAGAAGAGACUCCAUAUUCACAGUGAAUGUAGCAUAUCUGUAGGUCACAGAAAUCUACUCGGUUAGAGACCUGGUGCUAAUGAGAGGAGGAUCUGAUCCCUUGCCUCCGGUUUCUCAGACAGCAUUUGCAGGAUUUGCGUCAAGAGCUGAAGUAGAUUCCGACUGUUGAGGUGUGGAACUUUGUGAGGAUCGAGGAUUCAAACCUGCAGCUGCUGAUGCAGAUUGGUGUCCUUGGGAAGGAAAAUAACCCCCUUGUGCGAGAAAUGAGCCCUGAGGAUUGUAGAAAGAUUGAUGGCCUUGAGGGAGGGAAUGAGUUUGUCCAAUUGGAUUGGGAGGGUAAAGUGCCUGAAGCCCUGUUGGCCCAUAUAUUGCCUGAUGACCUUGAAAUCGUUUAAACUUGGCAAUGUGCUUUUUACCAGAAAGAUGGCGGUCAAGAACCUCGCGAGUGUCACACUUGACAUUGCACAAAUCACAUAUUAGGGGAGCUACGACUUUAGGUUUGGGAGGUUCCACCACUCUUCUAUGAGUUUCGUAAGUCUUUAUACGCUUCCCUCCACGACCACCCUCCAUUUUGCGUUUUAUUCCACGUCUCCUA
rnacentral:misc_RNA from 1 species